GAUGAACGCUGGCGGCGUGCCUAAUACAUGCAAGUCGAGCGAACAGACGAGGAGCUUGCUCCUCUGACGUUAGCGGCGGACGGGUGAGUAACACGUGGAUAACCUACCUAUAAGACUGGGAUAACUUCGGGAAACCGGAGCUAAUACCGGAUAAUAUAUUGAACCGCAUGGUUCAAUAGUUAAAGACGGUUUUGCUGUCACUUAUAGAUGGAUCCGCGCCGCAUUAGCUAGUUGGUAAGGUAACGGCUUACCAAGGCGACGAUGCGUAGCCGACCUGAGAGGGUGAACGGACAAAAUGGAACUGAGAAACGGUCCAGACUCCUAAGGGAGGCAGCAGGAGGGAAUCUUCCGAAAUGGGCGAAAGCCUGACGGAGCAAAGCCGCGUGAGUGAUGAAGGUCUUCAGAUCGUAAAACUCUGUUAUUAGGGAAGAACAAAUGUGUAAGUAACUAUGCACGUCUUGAAGGUACCUAAUCAGAAAGCCACGGCUAAAUACGUG
rnacentral:rRNA from 1 species